UUUUGAGCUCAGAAUUAACCACCACCCUCUCAACUGGCAUAUACUAAUAUUUGCCAGAAAGCCAAGAACACCCAAUGGAGAAAGGAGAGUCUCUUCAACACUGAUGCUGAAAAAACAGGACAAACACAUACAGAAAAAUGAAAUUGGAUGCUCUCCUAUACCACUCACAAAAAUGACCUCAAAAUAGAUAAAAGACUUAAAUGUAAGACUUGAAACCGUAAACCUCCCAGGAGGAACCAUAUGAAGAAGUUCCUCGAACUGGAUAUUGGCAAUGACUUUUUUUGGAUAUGACACCAGAAGCACAAAAAAAAACAAAAGCAAAAAUCAACAAGUGGGAGCCCGCCAAACUUAAAAGCCUCUGCACAGCAGAAGCAAACAAAAAUCAACAAAAUAAAAAUGAAAAGGCAACAUAUAGAAUGGGAGAAAUAUUUGCAAACCGUGUGUGUGAUGAAAAGUUAAUAUCCAAAGUAACACCCUCCCUCCCAACAAUUCGAUGAAAAAAAUGGGCAGAGGAACGAAAUAGACAUUUUUCUAAAAAAGAUACCCAAAUGGUCAAUGGGUAUCUGAAAAGAUGCUCAGCAUCACUAGUCAUCAGGGAAAAUGCAAAUCAAAACCGCAAUGAGAUGUCACCUUACACCUGUUAGAAGGACCAUCAUCAAGAAGAUGAGAGAUGACAAGUGCUGGGGAGGCUGUGGAGAAAAGGGAACCCCUGUGCACCGUUGGUGGGGAUGUAAAUUGCUUUGGCCACAACGGAAAACAAUACUGAGGUUCCUCAAAAAAAUGAAAAUAGAAAUAUCAUAUGACCCAGAAAAUUCAUUUCUGGGUAUAUACACAAGGGAAAUGAAAUGAAGAGAGGAUGCUGAAGACCUAUGUGGACUCGCAUGGGUACUGCAGCACCCUUCACAACAGCUAAGGUGUGGAAACAGCCUAAGUGUCACACGCCAGCAGAUGAUGGAUAAGAAGACGUGGUAUAGAUGCACAAUGGGAUAGUCUUCAGCCAUGAGAAAGAAGGACAUCCUGCCAUUGGGGACAUGGUUGGACCUUGAGGACAUAAAGUCAGGCAGAGACAAAUGGAACUCGGCGACUCUCCGUUUCACCGAGAUGUUUUCACCAGCGUUUGCAACUAGUGUGUUGAAUAAGCCGGGCUCGUGGUCUCAGGGGAAUGCAGCUUCAGGUUAGCAGAUUGUCAUUUGAUAAGGUUCAAAUGCACGUGUGAACUCAGCUGAGAUGGACAAGCUGGCCUGGCAAGAAAAUGUGUUCCCCAGCUCUCAGAAAGUGGGUCCAGCUUUUAGGGAAGACAAUGGAACAGAUUUGUUUGGAAGAUUCUGGAAUGUUCCUAGGAUACCUCCUUUUAUUGCCUUCUUCCACCUAAGCAGUCCCUACUGCCUGCAGCUGGAAUGGCCUCGGGCUAGUCCUCUCUGCUCUGCCUGUGCCUCUGCAAACUGAAGAUAGGAUACACGCGGACAAAGGCUUGACAGAGAAUGAAAGACCCCAACCAAGGGGGAGCCAAGGGCCAUCUUAGAAACACAUGUGGCACCUUAAACCAAAAGCACCUUAAAAAAUCACCUAAAAGGAUUUCCCAUCAUGGCGCAGCAGAAACGAAUCCGACUGGAACCGUGAGGUUGUGGGUUUG